GUCUAUAGUGAAUUAUGUUUACAUGCUACACUUGUGAGCCAAUGGAAGUUAGUAUUUGGCACAAGAAUUUCUCUCCAUCAUUGCAUUUUCAUUCCCACAGUUUGACUGUGUUCUGUUUGUAUAAUUUGAGACUUAUGAAUGCAUCUAUAAUAAAUUGUUGAUAUUAUUUGUGCAGUACAUUUGUUCUUUUCUCCAUCUUUUCUUGUCUGUUGAAUCCGUAUAUUUGUGGUGCUCUAGGCUCGUCGUGGUGGGGAUGAGCCAUUUGCUUGGGAAAGCAGGGAGUAUCUGAGGAAACUCUGCGUAGGAAAGGAGGUCACAUUUAGAGUGGAUUACACUGCUCCUAACAUCGGACGAGUAUUUGGCACUGUCUACCUUGGCGACAAGAACGUUGCCUACUUGGUGGUUGCUGCAGGAUGGGCAAGGGUGAAGGAGCAAGGCCCCAAGGGGGGUGAACCACUCCCAAAUGUCUCUGAGCUUCUGAGGUUCUAGGAAGUUGCUUAGCAACUUCCUUUAGGCCGUUGGAGCAAGGUUUGCUUUCUUUUGGGGUACCUGCUGUCCUGCAACCAUCUUUUGAAUUGCAUGACACAAAUGUUCAAUCGAUAAAAGAUCUUAUUUUCUGUGUUCUUAUUUUGUGUUCUUAUUUUCUGCCAACUUAGGAACCUGGUGCUGCCGAAGAUUCGAUAAAAGAUCUUCCACCUUCAGCAAUUGGCGAACUAAGUGGUUUUGAUGCAAAGGGUUUUGCAGUUGCAAAUAAAGGCAAGAGUCUGGAAGCCACUCGUGUUUACUUGCUUCCUAGUUUCCAUGGCCCUUUAUUCUGUUAGAAAGUAAAUAUUUAUUCUGUUAGAAAGUAAAUAUUGAGAAUGAUGAAAUGCAGGCUCCGUCCAUGGGGAGACGUCCUGUGAUGCCUGUGAUGCCUAUAAUGUAUGUGAUGGAUGUACAUUAUUAUACGUGGUGCCUGUGAUGGAUGUAGAUUUCAUGGGGUGGGUGUAUGAAAUGCGAUGGAUGUAAAUUUCAGAUUCGACCUAAAUCUCUAUUCAUAUGAUGGCUAGCGGCGGAUCUGUGAUACCUGGAGUGAGUGUAUCUGGCGGCGGAUCCUGGACGACUUCGGCGGUGGCUCGUCACGUCCUGGACGUCUCCGGCGACAGGUCCUGAAAGGGAUCGGUGCCGGAUCCUGGAAGCGAUCAAUGGAGGGUCCUGCACGGGACCAGCGCCGGAUCUAAUGGAUGUGCGAGUUACGCGCCGGCGGUUUUGAUGUGCCAGGGCGGCAGUGCAUGGAUGGAUGGGUGGCGGUGAAGGACCGAAGGGCGGCGGCGGGCGAAGGAGGGCAGUGUCGGGGCGACUGUUCCUCGCAAGAGGGACACGAGACCUCUCGCUCGAGGACGCACUGUCGGGCGUUUUUUUUUUCGCUGGUUAAUUUUCAUCGGUUUGUGCUCGGUGGUUUAUUUUUGAUUGUCUCAGUUAAUUACGACGGGAGGUUGGGCGUCUGCGGGACUCGAUCGCGGGGUUUUCAUUGGUUUUUUGCGGCUGAGCGAGAGGUGGGAGCAAGUUCCAAAGAAGUACCAAAAAAGACCGUAUUAGGUGGGACGAAAAUAAAACCCGGAACGCGGACUACCAACUGAGACAUUAGGAGUAGAGAUAUU